CGAAAGCCUGACGGAGCAAGACCGCGUGAGGGAGGAAGGCUCUUGGGUUGUAAACCUCUUUUCUCAGGGAAGAAGCACUGACGGUACCUGAGGAAUCAGCAUCGGCUAACUCCGUGCCAGCAGCCGCGGUAAUACGGAGGAUGCAAGCGUUAUCCGGAUUUAUUGGGCGUAAAGCGUCCGCAGGUGCUAGUUCAAGUCGAUUGUCAAAGGCAGUAGCUUAACUACUGAGAGGCAGUGGAAACUGAAAGACUAGAGUGCGGUAGGGGUAGCGCGAAUUCCCGGUGUACGCGGUGAAACGCGUAGCGAUCGGGACGAACACCAGCGCGAAAGCGCUCUGCUAGACCGGCACUACACUGAGGGCCGAAAGCUAGGGGCGCG
rnacentral:rRNA from 1 species